rnacentral:lncRNA from 1 species
GCACUUUCAUAAAAGCCCUCUCCUACACCAGACCCAAAAAUACCAUUGCAGGCCAGCUCAAAAAACUCCUAACUAGCCGCCCAACUCUGCCACCACGUCAGCUUCGCCGCCCGCCUCACUACCUCCCCGCCGUCUACGACUACCCUCUCCACCGGCGACCUCACCAAAAAACUCGACUGGCCAAAAUCUCACAAAUGCCAAAAGGAAAGGUAAGUACCCCCUCUCCUCUGUUCCAUAUCUCCCAAAGAAAUACGAC